UAUUUCUUUCCGAUUCACUCGCUUGUAAUUAAGUCGUACGUUUGCUGCCGCAGCUUUUAUUGAUUUGAGUCACGUCUAGUUGUUGACGCAGCAUCAAACAGCAAUAAAAUGUUACGAGGCGAAGCUUCCUUAAAAGGCAGCCGACAGCCAGGAUGGCCAACCUGCCGCCAGAACUGACCUUUCCCCAGCGGCGACCCACCCGAUCCACAUACAUUGUGCAGGGCACGAAUACUUUUCAAAUCUAAUUCGACUGACAAGGCGCACGUGGGUGCUUUUCUUCCUCUCGUCACUUGACGUUCUAAUUAUAUGGAGCACUCGCAUCCACAUGCACACACGGCUCUCGGGGAAAAUAACGCUAUGUGCCGCCACGACUGACAAGGACGAGAGCGCAAAUAAGGACUCGGAUAAAUAAACAAGCUGAGAAUAUACUCGAGCAUUGUGAAAUUGAAAAAAAGCGGCUCCAGAAGGAAAUCUGACGAGUGCGAGAAAGAAAAACCGGCCGUUUUACUAUAAUCUGAUUGGCUAAUCUUCUGCGGGGGCGCUUAA